GCCAGCGUAGUGUAGUGGUUUAAGCCUAGGACUACAACUCUGGAGACCAGGGUUCAAAUCUCUGCUUGGCC